GACGAACGCUGGCGGCGUGCUUAACACAUGCAAGUCGAGCGGAAAGGCCCUUUCGGGGGUACUCGAGCGGCGAACGGGUGAGUAACACGUGAGUAAUCUGCCCUUCACUUGGGGAUAACUACCGGAAACGGUGGCUAAUACCCGAUAUGACCAAUCACUGCAUGGUGUGUUGGUGGAAAGUUUUUUCGGUGGAGGAUGUGCUCGCGGCCUAUCAGCUUGUUGGUGGGGUAAUGGCCUACCAAGGCUUCGACGGGUAGCCGGCCUGAGAGGGUGACCGGCCACACUGGGACUGAGACACGGCCCAGACUCCUACGGGAGGCAGCAGUGGGGAAUAUUGGACAAUGGGCGAAAGUCUGAUCCAGCAACGCCGCGUGAGGGAUGACGGCCUUCGGGUUGUAAACCUCUUUCAGCGGGGACGAAGCGCCGGUAAUGGUGGUGACGGUACCCGCAGAAGAAGCACCGGCCAACUACGUGCCAGCAGCCGCGGUAA
rnacentral:rRNA from 1 species